GAUCAGGCCUGCCCNAUGAAGUAACUUAAUGGCUGCAGUAAUUUAACUGUACAAAGGUAGCAUAAUCAUUUGUCUCUUAAUUGGAGUCUGGAAUGAAUGGUUUGAUGAAAAGUAUACUUUCUUUUAUCUACAAAAAUAACUUAAUUUUUAAGUGAAAAAUCUUAACUAUUUUUAAAGGACGAGAAGACCCUAUAGAACUUUAUUUUAUAAGAAAUAUAAUAAUAUUUAGAUAUUUAUUUGAUUUUAUUUUUAUUAAAAUUUUGUUGGGGUGACAGAAAAAAAUUAAAAACUUUUUAUUUUUUUAGACAUAUAUUUAUGUAUUGAUCCAUUAUUAUAGAUAAUAAGAUUAAGUUACCUUAGGGAUAACAGCGUUAUUAUUUUGUAGAGUUCUUAUCGAUGAAAUAGUUUGCGACCUCGAUGUUGGAUUAAAAUUAGCAGUAGGGGUAGAUUAUUACUGUUUGAGUCUGUUCGACUUUUUUAUUUUUACAUGAUCUGAGUUCAAAACCGGAGA
rnacentral:rRNA from 1 species